GACGAACGCUGGCGGCGCGCUUAACACAUGCAAGUCGAGCGAAGCGGCGGACGGGUGAGUAACACGUGAGUAACCUGCCUUAGACAUUGGGAUAGCCUCCGGAAACCGGGAUUAAUACCAAAUGGUCUAAGAUGGACUCGCGUCCCAUUAGCUAGUUGGUGAGGUAACGGCCCACCAAGGAGACGAUGGGUAGCCGGCCUGAGAGGGUGAACGGCCACAUUGGAACUGGGAAAAGGUCCAAACUCUACGGGAGGAAGCAGUGGGGAAUGUUGCACAAUGGAGGGAACUCUGAUGCAGCGACGCCGCGUGAACGAAGAAGGCUGGCGAGUCGUAAAGUUCGUUUAUAUGGGAAGCGGUACCAUAAGAAAAAGCCCCGGCUAACUACGUGCCAGCAGCCGCGGUAAUUC
rnacentral:rRNA from 1 species